AUUGAACGCUGGCGGCGUGCUUAACACAUGCAAGUCGAUCGGUAACGCGGGGGCAACCCUGGCGACGAGAGGCGGACGGGUGAGGAACGCUUGGGAAUCUGCCCUUCAGCGGGGGACAACACGGGGAAACUCGUGCUAAUACCGCAUACGCUCCACGGAGGAAAGCCGGGGACCGCAAGGCCUGGCACUGAAGGAUGAGCCCAAGUCGGAUUAGCUAGUUGGCGGGGUAACGGCCCACCAAGGCGACGAUCCGUAGCUGGUCUGAGAGGACGAUCAGCCACACUGGGACUGAGACACGGCCCAGACUCCUACGGGAGGCAGCAGUGGGGAAUAUUGGACAAUGGGGGAAACCCUGAUCCAGCGACGCCGCGUGGGUGAAGAAGGCCUGCGGGUUGUAAAGCCCUUUCGGUAGGGACGAAAGCUCUCGACCUAACACGUCGGGAGGUUGACUUAACCUACAAAAGAAGCACCGGCUAACUCUGUGCCAGCAGCCGCAGUAAAAC
rnacentral:rRNA from 1 species